rnacentral:rRNA from 1 species
UACAGAGGGGGCAAGCGUUAUUCGGAAUUAUUGGGCGUAAAGAGCUCGUAGGCGGCUUGUCGCGUCGACUGUGAAAUCCCGCGGCUCAACUGCGGGUCUGCAGUCGAUACGGGCAGGCUAGAGUUCGGUAGGGGAGACUGGAAUUCCUGGUGUAGCGGUGAAAUGCGCAGAUAUCAGGAGGAACACCGGCGGCGAAGGCGGGUCUCUGGGCCGAUACUGACGCUGAGGAGCGAAAGCGUGGGGAGCGAACAGG